GUUGUAUGGUAAAAGUGCAUCUUGUAAAAGGUUGUCAAUGUUAGUAUCAGGAUUGUCUGUUCCAUGAUAAACAAUCUCCCCCUGAGUAUUCCAAGUUAAAAUAUCGCUUGAUAUAAGAAAAGAAUGUAGAAUUUUUUCUGCUGUAGGUUUUUUGACAUUAUUGUUGAGAUACAAAAGUACAUCCUGAAUGCGCCAAUGUCGCAGAGAUGUUUUAGCGUCGAGGUUCAUUGUUGAGAUGAUGUAUAAAUUUCAGUCACAGGGCUUUUGUACAAGUUCAGCCAGGCUUUCCAAAAUAGGACUUAGUAAUAGUCCAAGGAAACCGUUACUAUGUUGAACGAGUAUUUGUUUUUUAAUUUUCUUCUUCCAUGUUUUCCUCUAUCUACCAACUUAAGCAUUUCAUGUACGUUUGUAAGGUUGGAGUUUCUUCAUUACAUACUUCGGCAUUAAAUAUUUUCUUUUCAUAAAAUUUUCUGCACAAAGACACAGGCAGUGUUCUUGCGCGGCGGUUGCUGUUUCCAGUAGCGCUUGUUGUUGAUCAGGCUCAGACGUGCCCAGCAGUUCAAGAAAUGGCUUGUGCCUUAGUAGUUUGAUCAUUUCUGUUCGAAAGCUUGGAAGCAAAUGAGUAAAACAGGAUAAAAAGGUGGCUUAUAUUGGAAGAGAAAAAGAGAAGUAUCAGGUGAAAAGCUAUUUGGACUAAGCUCCAAGAUGAUUUAGACUAGGCUCCGAGUUAUUGAGAGCUCGGCUCCGAGCCUAUCGAACUUGCCGAGCCUAUCGAACGUUAACUCCUAGCUGUAGACUCAGACUUCGGGCUCUAGAAUCAGACUCCUAGUUUUAUAGAGUCAGACUCCUAGCUAUUGAAUAAUAUCGUAAGAUGACGGAUCAUAAAAUCCACUUUGUUGCCUUUAUCUUCCUUAAUAUAUACUUAUAAUUUCCAAUACCGUCUUCAUAUAAAGGAAGAUAAAGAUAAGGUUUAGGACAAGAAAGAUAAGGAAGAUACAAAGAUAAAGAUAAGGAAGAUAAGAAGAUAAAGAUAAGGACAAGGAUAAGGAAGAAGAUGAGGAAGAUAAAGAUAAGGAAAAUAACGAUAAGGAAGAUAAGAAGAUAAAGAUAAGGAAGAUAAGAAGAUAAAGAUAAGGAAGAUAAGAAGAUAAAGAUAAGGAUAAGGAUAAGGAAGAAGAUAAGGAAGAUAACGAUAAGGAAGAUCAGAAGAAAAAGAUAAGGAAGAUAAGAAAAUGAAGAUAAGGAUAAGGAAGAAGAUAAGGAAGAUAACGAUAAGGAAGGUAAUAAGAUAAAUAUAAGGAAGAUAACAAGAUAAAGAUAAGGAUAAGGAAGAAGAAAAGGAAGAUCACGAUAAGGAAGGUAAGAAGAUAACGAUAAGGAAGAUAAGAAGAUAAAGAUAAGGAAAAUAAGAAGAUAAAGAAGAUAAGAAGAUAAAGAUAAGGAUAAGGAAGAAGAUAAGGAAGAUAAAGAUAAGGAAGAUAAGAAGAUAAAGAUAAGGAAGAUAAGAAGGUAAGGAAGAUAAGAAGAUAAAGAUAAGGAUAAGGAAGAAGAAAAGGAAGAUCACAAUAAGGAAGAUAAGAAGAUAACGAUAAGGAAGAUAAGAAGAUAAAGAUAAGGAAAAUAAGAAGAUAAAGAUAAGGAAGAUAAGAAGAAAAGGAUAAGGAUAGGGAAGAAGAUAAGGAAGAUAACGAUAAAGAAGAUAAGAAGAUAACGAUAAGGAAGAUAAGAAGAUAACAAUAAGGAUAAGGAUAAGGAAGAUAACGAUAAGGAAGAUAAGAAGAUAAAGAUAAGGAAGAUAAGGAUAAGGAAGGAAGAAGAUAAAGAUAGAGAUAAGCAAGAUAAUUAUAAGGAAGAUAAAGAUAAGGAAGACAAGGAAAAAUACUGGAUAGAUGCAUAAAUGAAUAUAUAGAACGAACACACCAAAUUAUUAUCAGUUACAGCUAAACGUUCGUGGUGCGAACAUGUCCUUUCCGUGCAAUAUAUGUGCCAAAGUAUUUUCAACACGCGGCAACCUCAAGCGUCAUACUUUGAAUACCCAUGGAAAUGUUCAAAGCAAACCAGUUAAAAUCUCCGCAGGAUCUGCAGUUUUGCAACACCCAUUUACAUGCAUCGUUGAAGGAUGUACCCAAAGCGGCAAGACUGUAUGGCUGAAAUCUCUCUUGGAGAAAAAACUAUAAGUCCAUCUCCUCAACGUAUCAUCUGGUGUUAUGGUCAGUAGCAACCAUCCUAUUUUGACAUGCUGAAAACAAUGCCAAUGCCUGGAAUCGAGUUUAAUAAAGGCAUCCCCGACGAUGUCGACAAAGUGGAUUACUUGGACAUAUCUCAACGGAAUUUAAUCAUUCUAGACGAUCUUAUGGCACAAUCUGGUAAAGACAAUUAGACAAACGUAUAGCUGAUCUUUUUGCGAAAGGAAGUCAUCACCGAAAUUUGUCUAUUAUCUAUAUUGUUCAAAAUGUAUUUCAUCAGGUCAAAGAGAUGAGAAAUAUCAGCCUUAACGCUCACUAUAUUGUGCUGUUCAAGUCACCAAGAAAUAAACAGCAAAUUUCUAUGCUUGCAAGGCAAAUAAAUCCCGGAAGAGUGCAAGAAUGUUUGACGAGUUACGAAGAUGCUACAUUGCUACGAGCCAACCUCAUGGAUAUUUGAUGUUAGAUUUAAAGCCAACAACAAAUGAUCAAUGUCGACUUAAGAUCAACAUACUACCGGGAGAGAUUGCAAAGUUUUUACACAAACAGUCGGAUCAUCAACCACCGCUUGUAAAUGCAAUGUAUGAUGCCGAACAGAGAAAUGAGAGAAUGAAAGAAAUCAUGGAAGUACCACAACUUCCCGCCGUGGAAAAAAGCAAGUUAUAUUCUGAUCAACUAAGUCGGUUUCUCAUAUUCAAAAAUAAGAUGGAUAUUCCAGUUUCUCAUUCCAGUCACGAAGCCCCUGUUCAGAGAACUCCACUAGUGUCUGCUACUCGUGUUUCUGCUCGGAUACCACCACAAGUGCCUCAUACUCCUGUACCAUCGGAAAUACCACCACCAGUGCCUGCUACUCCUAAACCAAAUUUCCUUACACCGCCAUCAACAUAAGAGGAACGACCAAAACUCAAGCGCAACUUUUUCCACAAUUGGGUAGACCCAGCAGAUUGGACCGAACGUGACCUAGCACGAAUGACUCUGGAAGCAAGAGAGGAUUAUGAACGUGUUAUAUUGAGCGACAGACCAAAAUAUAUUCCAAAACAAAAAUAACGAUAUAACAAAAACACCCAAACGUUAUGCUCUCAGAAGUAGACCUUACUAAAUUUUGUAAAACGUUUUGAAGAAAUAAAUGUAUUUUAAAACUG